ensembl:lncRNA
UUACUAUAUGAGAAUGAAGAGGCAAGCAGCCCAGAUUAUGACUGGAAGUCAUUUGAGCAGUAGAUAAAGGAUCCUUUGACUCUGGCCGAAGCUGUAGCUGGCAGUGCAGAGAAAUGGAAAGAAACUGGAUUCUUGAGGACAAGACAGAGCCUUUGGCAGUGGAAAAGAAAAUGAUAUAAUCUGAGAACCUGACUCUAUUACCAGUGCAAUGUAUAGAAAUGCCUUACCUGCCACCCCCCGAACAUCAGCACCCAGACUGAAUCCACCAUCAUGUCUCUUCCACACCCCAGAAAAAUGGACUUUCCCAUGGUGCGUUGGAAGAUCCCCUGGAGAAUGAAAUGGCAACCCACUGCAGUAUUCUUGCCUGGAGAAUCCCAUGGACAGAGGAGCCUGGUGGGCUACAGUCCACAGGGUCGCAAAGAGUUGGGCACGACUUAGCGACCCUACUUUCUUACUUACUUAUGUACACAGAUGUAGCUCAUGAGCUAGACUACCUGAGGCCCAAAGCCCAACAUAUCUUCCAGGAGGGUCUAGUAGUCCUACCCAUAGGCCUUUCAUCUUUCCAGACCCGCUGUUAAACUCAAUAGAGUCCCGGAAGGUCCCUGGAGUGUCAGUUUCACUCGUCUGCCUCUCUGGCCCACUGCAGCUGGUAUGAGCAAUGAGACAGCAGGCCAGGGAAAGACAGAGGCUGGAGGCUGGGGUGAGUAGUGUUGGCAAAUAUGCUGUGGGGAACCCCAGUACCCUCUUGAGCACAAGGGGAGUUCAUGGCCCUGGAUUCACAUCAAACACACUGGCCAGGGCCCCUGUCAGGGCUUGGAGUCAGAGAUGGCCACAUGCACAUCCUCACUACUCCCCCACAAGCAAAUUCAUUCCUCAUCUCAGCAGACACCUCAGAGACACCUUGGGCACUUAGUAUUGGCUGCAUAAAAAGAAAAAUGCAGUGAUAUAAAAUACCUUGUCUAAUUGUUUUCCUACAAGUUAUUGAGGAUUUUGAUGAUAACAGGAGAUUAUGACCCAAAGUUUCUUAUCUGGGGGCCAACAUUGCUUCUAGGAAAAGGCAAGAGAUUUGAAGGCAGAAGUCUUGCUGCUAUGGAACAUAUGAUCUUUGGCAAGUCAUUCAAGCUCCCUGAACCUCAGUUUUCUCAUCUGAGUCAUGGGAGCUAAUAGUCAUCACAAGAGUGGUAACACACAUCUCUGGGGAAGUUCAAAGGUCAAACAAGAUAAUAGGUAGGGAAUUGCUUUGUAAACUUUUGUAAAUAUUUUAAGUGAUAUACAAAUAUUAACUGUUAUUAUAGUAUAAAGUUGGCCUUUAAAUAUUGCACCAACACAAAGUUAAGAGGGACUAAAAAUGAGAGAGAGGUUCAAGGACAGCCAUAAGGUUAUUGACUCGGCUUUGGUCCUAGUUUGCUGACAUAUCUUCUCGAGGGGUCCAAUGUCAAUCCUGGGUGAGAAAUCAUUAGGAUUAUAGACAAUGACUCAUAACCUCACCUCCUCAUAUUUCUACAAACACAAAGUUUUUCAAAGUAUUUUAUUCAACUUUUCACAAAAACAUCAUUCCUGUUUAGUGUUGGGAAAAGUCUG